rnacentral:rRNA from 1 species
ACCAGAAAGNNNCGGCNNNNNACGUGCCAGCAGCCGCGGUAAUACGUAGGUGGCAAGCGNNNUCCGGAAUUAUUGGGCGUAAAGCGCGCGCAGGCGGUUUCUUAAGUCUGAUGUGAAAGCCCACGGCUCAACCGUGGAGGGUCAUUGGAAGCUGGGGAACUUGAGUGCAGAAGAGAAAAGCGGAAUUCCACGUGUAGCGGUGAAAUGCGUAGAGAUGUGGAGNNACACCAGUGGCGAAGGCGGCUUUUUGGUCUGUAACUGACGCUGAGGCGCGAAAGCGUGGGGAGCAAACAGGAUUAGAUACCCUGGUAGUCCACGCCGUAAACGAU